AUUGAACGCUGGCGGCAGGCCUAACACAUGCAAGUCGAGCGGAUGAAGGGACCUUGCUCCUGGAUUCAGCGGCGGACGGGUGAGUAAUGCCUAGGAAUCUGCCUGGUAGUGGGGGAUAACGUCCGGAAACGGGCGCUAAUACCGCAUACGUCCUGAGGGAGAAAGUGGGGGAUCUUCGGACCUCACGCCAUCAGAUGAGCCUAGGUCGGAUUAGCUAGUUGGUGGGGUAAAGGCCUACCAAGGCGACGAUCCGUAACUGGUCUGAGAGGAUGAUCAGUCACACUGGAACUGAGACACGGUCCAGACUCCUACGGGAGGCAGCAGUGGGGAAUAUUGGACAAUGGGCGAAAGCCUGAUCCAGCCAUGCCGCGUGUGUGAAGAAGGUCUUCGGAUUGUAAAGCACUUUAAGUUGGGAGGAAGGGCAGUAAGUUAAUACCUUGCUGUUUUGACGUUACCAACAGAAUAAGCACCGGCUAACUUCGUG
rnacentral:rRNA from 1 species